rnacentral:rRNA from 1 species
UGAGUAACCUGCCCUUAACUCUGGGAUAAGCCUGGGAAACUGGGUCUAAUACCGGAUAUGACUCCUCAUCGCAUGGUGGGGGGUGGAAAGCUUUUUGUGGUUUUGGAUGGACUCGCGGCCUAUCAGCUUGUUGGUGAGGUAAUGGCUUACCAAGGCGACGACGGGUAGCCGGCCUGAGAGGGUCGACCGGCCACACGUGGGACUGAGACACGGCCAGACCUCCGUACGGGAGCAG